rnacentral:rRNA from 1 species
AUGCACUGGUACUCGUGGUGGAAAUUGUGCUUCCCUAAAAGUGAAGGCGGUAUGGGAUUUCGUGAUCUAUAUUCGUUCAAUUUAGCCAUGCUUGCUAAACAAUGCUGGAGGUUAAUUACUGAACCAGAGUCUCUAUGUGCUCGUGUUUUGAAAGCGAAAUAUUAUCCAAAUGGGAGCUUACUUCAAGCUACUCCUAAACAAGGAUCGUCGUUCACAUGGCAAAGUAUUCUGAAGGGGCUAGAGACUUUCAAGAAAGGUUUUAUUUGGAGAAUUGGUUCUGGUGAUACAGUGAAUAUAUGGGAUGAUCCAUGGAUACCUUCCAGCUCGGAUCGAAAGAUAAUUACCCCUCGUGGGCAAACAUUAAUGUCACGGGUAAGUGAUCUCAUUGACCCAAAUAAUGGCACAUGGGAUGAGGAGCUACUGAGAAGCAUCUUCAACCCUGUGGAUGUGCGAAGGAUAUUGCAAAUACCCUUGAAUCACCAAGCCUUUGAUGACUUUGUUGCUUGGCAUGUGAAUAGAACAAGAAUCUUCUCUGUCCGAACGGCGUACAGAUUACAGUGGAUGCAUACUUUUAGGUCUCAGGCAAAUGGAAUUUCAGGAGCAACUGGCUCUAAUCCUCCGGCCGUAUGGAGAAUACUAUGGAAACUAAAUAUUCCACGCAAAGUUUAG